GAAUACACUAACUGUACAUUGCUCUGGAUAAGAGCAUCUGCUAAAUGACUAAAA
rfam:Salmo salar isolate Sally breed double haploid chromosome ssa01, whole genome shotgun sequence.